UUUUAAUUUGUGAGGUCAUUAAUGGUAUGCCGACCAUCCAUUCUUCUGAUGUACAGGAGAGAAUAUAGACUCUGAUUCGCUUCAAUGAAGGAUGGAGACUCUUCCUUACCAUUAAGCACUUCUUCUUCUUCCGCCUUCUACUGUCAACCUCCGUUGUUCUGCCGGUAGCAUUAACCAUUUCACUAACGAUCUUGUCUUCCCGAUCCACAAGGAUCUCGUUGUUCUUGUCAGUCUUCUUCAUCUUCUUUGUGCCUUCCGAUCGCUUGUGGCCUAGCUUAUCCAGCCACAAUUGUCCUUCUUCUGUGUCACCUCUGCACAACAUGACAAUUCCAUAAAGGCUUUUGCUAGUUCAUGAGAGACACGCAUGCAAUGAACAAUUUCUUGACGGCCAGCUUUUGCAACUCUGGACAUAAUUUCGCCAAGAAGAUCUUGUGACAAUAUUCAUGACCCCUCCAGUACCAUGUUUGUCUGCGGUAGCGUCUAGGAUUUUCAAACCUGAGUUCGAAGUUACACGAGAUAGAGCUACAUACAACUGCCUGUGAGUGAAGACUGAAUGUGGGUGAAAGGAUGCUUGCUGUCAUUAGGAGACAAAACAAUUUUUGGGAUGAGGACUUUUUCACCAACAUGGGUGCCCGUGAGAAUUUCUGCCUCGAUUAUCCUUUGCCCAAGUCGCGUGAUAAGAAGCCGCGUACCAUUGCAUAACCCUUUCUUCUGGUUUAGAUUUCGGAGGAGCAUUACAGGUACACCUUCUUUCAACCUUAUCUUGUGGUUUGGUAGGCCUGGAAACUCGAGUGAGUUUAAAUAUUCAACUGUGUAUAAGUUGUUCCAGUCGCCUCCUGGUGCCAGCUCUGUUUGAAUUGAAUCUGAGCUUAAAUACUCUGUAAUGUCACCUGCAACUUUUGAUAGUUGAUAAUCAUUUAUUUCGAGUACAGUCUCAUUGCGAGGAGUGAGAAUAGCCCUUUCGGUUAGGUACUGUCGUUUCUUGUAGCUCUCAGGGAACCUUGGAUACGCAGCUGUUGUAAUCUCUUCUAGAUGGUUCCCUUUGUUUGGUAGAAUUAGAGAUUGGUUUAUUGCUAUUCUGCGACCUCCUCCAUCUUCAUCAGGGGUAGUGCUUGCUGACAUUGAGGUUCCAUCCCCUACUGUUAAAAUCCAUGCUGCAAAUUCUGCGUCUGAUUGGUCAAGUCUGAGGUUUUUAGACAAAUUGAAUAUUUGACAUGCAGGCCAUAGAUGAGAACGAUUAAUAGCAGCUUGGACGGUGUCUUGGCGGCUUCCUUGGGGAACAACAGGUAAUAUCUGUCUGAAGUCUCCCCCAAGUAAAACUGUUUUCCCUCCAAAUGGUUUGUUAAGUGCUGAAUCAUCUUCUAAAGCCAUCAGGUCUCUGAUUGUUCGAUCUACAGCCUCAAAGGCAUGGCGAUGGGCCAUGGGUGCCUCGUCCCAUAUUAUCAAGUCAGCCUUGGUAACUAAAGAAGCUAGCAUUGUACCUGACUUUAUUUCACAUGUUGAACCUUCGUCGACUGUUAUUGGUAUCUUGAAUCGUGAGUGUGCCGUUCUUCCGCCAGGUAGGAGCAGAGCAGCUAUACCUGCUGACGCAACUGGGAUGACAACUUUGCUGAUCGAACGCAACUUUGCUAUUAUUGUCUUGUAUAGGACCUUUGACAAUAUUCAAUAAUACUCUGAAAUAAAACAAAUCUCCUGCUGAGGGGUGGAUAUGGACUAUCCUACCAAUUGCGAGACCUUGUUUCCUCCUACUCCAGGUGACUCUUUCUCUCUUUUGUUAUUUGCCAUCCACUCAGUGAGCAUUGUCUUCUCUACAUCAUCUCUUGUAAGAAUGCUCUGUAAACGUUGCC